UGGACCAAGCAUGAGAAUGUAUCACGAACUUGGAGUUGUGAUUAAACCAAUUUUGUGUUCUUGAGGUCAAAA
rnacentral:snoRNA from 1 species